UAGCUCUUUUAAUGAGCAAAUAAUACUUUAAAUACACUUUACACAAUUAGAAGGAAGCUCUUUCUGAUUUUCUCAAGGUGGUUGGAGACUUGAAUGAGCUCUUGAGGAGUUGGUGAACUUGAAAUAAAAGCUUCUUGACCUUUUUAAGUGGGCUCUUGCUUAGGAUUGAAAUGAAUGCUUGAAGAAUCUUUUUUAAAUCU
rnacentral:lncRNA from 1 species